ensembl:lncRNA HISLA HIF1A stabilizing long noncoding RNA
GUUAAACAAGUGCUUGAAGGCAGUAUGCUUGGUAAAAGUCAUCGCCAUUCUCUAAUCUUGAGUACCCAGGGACACGAUACACUGCGGAAGGCUGCAGGGACCUCUGCCCAGGAAAGCCAGGAGCCAGAAAAACUUCAUCUCUUUUACAAGAAACAUUGAGAUUCCUGUAAAAUUAAGAAAUCACACAAUUUGAUGGUCUACAUUAUCUAAAGCAAAUGAGACUUCUAUUUGGAACAAAGACUACCUUGUUGGGAAAUGAGUCUGCAAGUUAAAGUGUUUUCUGGAUCCAGUAUCUGCCGGAGGAGCCCCACCUUCUGCUACUAUUAUGUUCUUCAGAUGAGUAGAAGAGAGUGGGGAGGGAGAGAGCAGGAAGAAGAAAGGAAGAAUAAUGUCUUGAAAUUGAUGAUGCAUAUCAUAAAUUAUUACUCACCCCAUGUUCCCACCCUCGAGAGACCUCCAAACAAUCACCAUGCCACAGUGAACAUUCAGUAACAAAAAUUCAGCCAGGGUUUUCACCAGCAUGAAUGGCAGUGAUUCCAAUCAGGAAAACAGAAAGAGGAGAGUUCAGAGCCACCUAGAAUGGCUCUUGCAAGAUACGAAAUCAAGGCAGCAGCAACAGGGCUGAACAUUCCUCAUCCCUAACUCUCCCUUCACCAGUAGGAAACCCAGGAUAACUGCAAUCACCGCAGGCCCAUCUGGCCUGAAGUUCUACUACUAGUAGCCCUCCAUGGGACCUUCUUAAGGAAGCAUGUCAACUCAGGUAAGGGAUGUAAGGGGAUGGAUGACCCUUUGAGGCCAAAGUUGGAGCAAAAAACACCAGAUGUUCCUGUGCACUGCUCCUAAGAGAUGGUUCUGAAGACCAGUUCGGGGAGAGGUCAAAAUACUGGACAGAAUCUCAGCAACAUGGAACCUCAAACUAAGUGACAGUCACAGACAACUCUUCCCCAAAGAAAAUAAGCACAGACAUGGUUUGUGGUAAGCAGAAUUAUAAAGAUGAAUUCCCAUCUCCCUGUCAGAUUACCAGUAUGGUAAAUUACCAGAUUACCUGGUUAUUUAUUCAAACACUAAUACAGUUAUUGCCUUGAUGGAAACAUACAGAUACAAUUAAAAUCCCAAGUACCAAAUAAAUUGACCUUAAGACAAAGACUAAGUAAAUCACAUGAGCCCUCUACAAGCAGAGAGUUUUUCUCCAGCUGGUAGCAGAAGCCAGAGAUUUGAAGCAUAGGAAGUAUUCAACACAUUAUUGCUGGCCUGAAAAUGGAAGGGGCCACAUAACGAGGGAAACCGGUGGCCUCUAGAAGCAGGGAGCAGUCCCCUGCUGACAGACAGCAAGCCAAGACCUCAGUUCUACAAUUGCAAGACACUCAAUUCUGCUAAGGACAAAAAUGAGCUUGGAAGUGAACUCUGAGCUUCAGGUGAGAACACGGCCAAACAACACCUUGAUUUCAGCUUAAACAAAGAAUGCAGCCACUCCAUGCCAGAAUUCUGACCUGUAGAAAUUUGAGCUAAUAAAUAGAUGUUUUAAUAGCUUCAUCGAUACAUACUUCACUUACUGUAAAAUUCAUUAUUUUAAAGUGUACAAUUCAGUGGUUUUCAGUAUAUCCACAAAAUGCAACCAUCACCACUAUCUGAUUUCAGGAUUUCUUUUUCUUUUCUUUUUUUUUUAAUCCCAUAAAGAAAAUCCAAACCAAUUAGCAGUCUUUCUUCCUUCUCCCUGCUCCCAGCCCGUGAAAACCACUAAAUUACUGUCUGUUUCCAUGGAUAUGCCUAUUCUGGAUAUUUUAUAUAAACCAAAUCAUGCAAUAUGUGGCCUUUUGUAUUUGGCUGCUUGCACUUAGCAUAAUGUUUUCAAAAUCCAUCCAUGUUGUAGCAUUUCUCAGUAUUUCAUUCCUUGUAUAGCUGAAUAAUAUACCACACAAAUAUAUCACA